GGAUGAUGACGAUCUCAAUCAGGAAGUCUCGUUCAUCUUGAUGGCUUGAUCCCUUCAGGAUUAACUUGAUAUAUGAUCACCCAUAUACCAAGUCC